rnacentral:rRNA from 1 species
CCUACGGGAGGCAGCAGUAGGGAAUAUUGCUCAAUGGGGGAAACCCUGAAGCAGCAACGCCGCGUGGAGGAUGAAGGUUUUCGGAUUGUAAACUCCUUUUGUUAGAGAAGAUAAUGACGGUAUCUAACGAAUAAGCACCGGCUAACUCAGUGCCAGCAGCCGCGGUAAUACGGAGGGUGCAAGCGUUACUCGGAAUCACUGGGCGUAAAGAGCGCGUAGGCGGGAGAGCAAGUCAGAUGUGAAAUCCUAUGGCUUAACCAUAGAACUGCAUUUGAAACUGUUAUUCUAGAGUAUGGGAGAGGUAGGUGGAAUUCUUGGUGUAGGGGUAAAAUGCGUAGAGAUCAAGAGGAACACUCAUUGCGAAGGCGACCUGCUAGAACAUAACUGACGCUGAUGCGCGAAAGCGUGGGGAGCAAACAGGAUUAGAUACCCCGGUAGUC